AGAGGAAAGAGUGUCACUCUUUCUGGGUCUUGGAGAGAAAGGGGGACCCCAAGGGGAAUUAGAGAAUGAGGGGAAUCCUCUAUGGUUACUGCAUCCGGGUUAUUGCGAGGGAGGUGAGGUUUUCUUCUCUAGAGGUCACUGCUUCCAGGUUACCGGAGGGAGAGAUGGAAGGAUUCUCCUGGGGAUCAGCUGGGCUUUAGGAGAUUUCUUGAGAGGAGGGUGGUAGGGCCGUGACGGCAAUUGGGUUUUAAUGGAAGUGAGACGCCACCCUCCACCCCGGAAGGAUCGGGAAUGGGAUAUCCCCUGGGGAGGUUAUUGAGAGUGAGGAACUGGGGGAAGAGGGUCGAAACGUCUAGAUUAGAGGGCAUGAGGUCCAUCUGGAAUUUAUCUAGUGGCAUCUGAGUUGUUGAAAGUGGGAACCGUCAGGGGAGUUACUUGGGUGUGAGAGACAGACACCCCCUCCCCCCAUGGGAGUCACUGAGAAUGAAGAGUUUCUGUAAAAUGUCAUUGCCUAGGGAUUACUGGGAAUAAGGGAGUCCUCUGGGAAUUAUUGCACUCAAGUCACAUAACAGUGAGAUCAGAAUGAGAUUUAAACAAACUACAUCCGUGGAUACUGAGAGAACAGUAGGCAGAUAUGAUUGUUGAAUUCCCAGAAUUUUUGAAAGUUUGGAAGAAUAGAAGGAAGUGGCACAGGAUUGGAAAAAGGAUUACAAAGGAAAGCAAAGGUUACCAAGAUGGAAUUUUCUUGCCACGAAAGUUGAUGGAUUCUGUGAAAUCAAAUCACCAAACCCUUGGGGGACCUCAGGGUAAGAACUUUUAAUGGAACUGGAGAGGGCACUAUAAAGGGCCUGGAGACAGAAAGAUCUCCAAUUAAAUUCUGCCUUAGACACUGGCAUUAUGACCCUUUUCUUUUUCUUAUGACUUUUCACUAUCUCUGACCUCCCAUAUCCAAUCUGUUGCCAAGCCUGUUGUCAUUGAAGUUCUGCCUCAUUUUCCAUAUUGGUAAAAUGGGGAUAAUUACACCUACCUUCUGGGGUUAUUGUAUUUCUCCAACAAGAUAACAAUUAUAAAGCAUUUUGCAAACCUUAAAAUGCUAUGUAAAUAACAACUAUUAUUAUUGUUGUUGUUAUAUUGAUAGACAGACAAGGCAUAUAUUAAGCACUCAUUCUCCUUGACCUCUUCACCAUCUUUGACACUGUUAAUCAGUGUCCUCCUUGGUAUCUCCUCUUUGUAGAUUUUUCAGUACACCCCUCUCUCCUGGUUCUUGUCCUACCUGUCUUACCACUCCUUUGUCUCCUUUGCUGGAUUCUCUUCUAGAUCAAGCCCUCUAGUUGUGCAUGUUCCUUAGGGCCCUAUCUUCAGCCCUCUUCUCUUUUACCUCUACACUACCUCACUUGAGCAUCUCAUCAGCUCCCGUGGAUUUUAUGACCACCUCUGUGCUGAUGAGUAUAAUGUCUUCUUUCCUGCCUUAGCCUCUCAGCUGACCUCCAAUCUCACAUCUUCAACUGUCUUUCAGACGUCUCUAACUGGAUGUCCACUAGACAUCCUAUAAACUCAAUGUAUCCAAAACAGAAUUCAUUCUCUUUCCCCCAAAUUCUACUUCUAUCUUACCUUCCCAGUUACAGAGAAGACAAGACCAGGCUCCCAGGCUAACAAUCUUGGACUUUUCACUAUCUCUGACCUCCCAUAUCCAAUCUGUUGCCAAGCCUGUUGAUUUCAUCUUUGCAGCAUCUCUUGAAUCAGCAGCCACCUUCUCUCCCUAGAGAGUGCCCACCACCCUAGUACAGGCCCCUCACAUUUGGAUUAUUGUAAUAGCCUGCUGGUGACUCUGCCUGCCUCAAGUCUCUUCCCUACUCCAGUCUCUCCUACAUCCAUCCACUGAAGUGAUUGUCCUAAAGUACAGGUCUCUUGCUCUUCUGUCUUGAAAGUUGUUACUAAGACAGAAAGUGAGGGUUAAUAAGGGGGGCAGGGCAUCUAGGUGGCACAACGGAGAGGGUCAGGCUUGGAGUCAGGAACACUUGGGUUCAUAUUUAGCCUGAACACUUCUUAGCUGUGUGAUCCUGGACAAGUCACUUAACUCAAUUUGCCUAGCCCUUGCCCUUCUGUCUUAGAAUUGUUACUGAGACAGAAAGUAAGGGUUUAAAGUACAUGAUCAUGCCACUUUCCCCCAGCUCAGUAAGCUCCAGUGCCUUCCUAUCACCUGCAGAAUUAAAUAGAAAAUUCUCUGUUUAACAUUCAAACUAGCCUCUUUCUACCUUUUCAGUCUUCUUAUUCUUCUAUCCAGUGACAAUAGCCUCCUGGUUGUCCCAUAAGCUUGACACUCCAUCUCUGAUAUUCCCCAUCCUGGAGUGCUUUUCCUUCUGCUCCACCAACUAACCUUCCUGGCUUCCAUUAAGUCCCAGCCAAAAUCCAGUCUUUAGCUGGAAGCCUUCCCCAACCUUUCUUAAUUCUAAUGCCUUCUCUCUGUUAAUGAUUUCCUGGUUAGCCUAUAUUUAGCUUGCUCUCUUUCCCUUUAGACCAUGAGCUCCUUGAGGGUAGGAACUGUCUUUUGCUUUUUUUUAUAUUCUAAGCACUUAACAUAGUGCCUGGUAUAUGGUAAGAGCUUAAUAAAUGUUUACCAGUUGAUUAGCAUAGAUUAAUGUUCCCACUCGUUUAUAAACUGUCACAUACACAUGUGUACGCACUGUCAUUCACAUACUUGCCCUCUUCCUCCAUACACACCCACUAGCCAUCCUCAUGUAUUUAAAUGUUUGUUACAUGGAAGGGAGAUUGAACUUGGCUUCAGAGGGCAGCAGUGGGGGCAGGCUGUGGAAAGGCAGCUUUAGACUGUUAGGAGAAGGGACUGCCUAAUAAUUAGAGCCAUCCUUGAAUGGAAUAGGCUGAAUCCCCACAUAACUGGAGCUCUUCGGUUGGAGACUAGAUUGAUCCUUUCUUAGAGAGUCCAAUAAGUCUUGGACUAUGACCUCUAAGGGCCUUGAUUGAGCACUGAGAAUCAGGGAUUAUUGGAACAUCGAUCAUCCCUAUAGCCAAGCAGUAUCUGGAUUUCCUGGAAUCAUCUUACAAGUUUUCUUUGUCCAUCAGGACAUCCUGGAGGCAGUAUAGAAGGCUUGCUGGCCUAGGCCUGAAGCCCUGGAUCUGCCCUUCAGUUUUUUUUACCCCCACUUAUCUGAGCCUUGGCUUGCUCCUUGGAACAUGAGGAAAUGGGUCCAACGUCCCUUCCAGCUCUGAGUCUUUGUUCCCCUGACUUCUUUGGGUGUAGGGGGCUUUCUGACAGAAAGGGCUCACUGAUGACAGACUGCUUCUGCUCUUGACUCAUUCCUCCUGUCCUUCUCUGGAGACUUCCCUGCCUGUGAGAAAACUUCCAUACUCCACUCCUUGUGUUGGUGAGUUCCCUAGUGCUGAAGAGACUAGAACUCAAACACACAGCAAUUAGGAAGAGAAGGAGAGAGCUUAGUGUAAUGUAUGUGUGUCAAGUCUCGGAGCAGCCUUCCCUUAGGACCACCACUGAAAUACUUCACUCCUCUUCCUGUUGUGGCCUGAAGACCGUCACAUCUGAGGUCUGGCAACGGAAAACUGGUUUUAUCCAAUCCAUCCCCCUCUGGUGAUUGUGACCCCAGGGAUCUCAUUUUAAGCCUUGACUCUUCCCUUGUGUCAUUAAAACUGUUCCAUAAUAAAGUUCUUUUACUUUAUGCAUUGGAGGCCUGUAUGACUCCUGUUUAAAACAAAACUUAAAGUCUUGAAAGUUCUGGAACAAGAGGCAGCUAGAUGGCCUCAGUGGAUUGAGAGCCAGGCUUAGAGAUGGGAGGUCCUGGGUUCAACUUUCACCUCAGACACUUCCUACCUAUGUGACCAUAGGCAAGUCACUUAACCCCAGUUGCAUUGGCCUUGCUGCUCUUCUGUCUUAGAACUGAUACUAAGACAGGAGGUAUGAGUUAUUUUAACACACACACACACACACAGAAAAUGCAGAAAUAGCCUGGGGUGACUGGUUUUCCUUAGGGCAGAAUUGGGAAUGGUGGGUAGAAGUUGCAGAGAGGCUCAGUAUGAAGGAAAUUCAAUUCGUUCCGUCAUUUUUCAUUCAUGCCCAACUUUUCAUGACCCCAUUUGGGAUUUUCAUGGCAAAAUCCUGGAAUGGUUUGCUGUUUCUUUCUCCAAAUUGUUAUUGCAGAUGAGGAAAGUUAAGUUAUAAAGGAAAUUAAGGAUCACAGGGCUAGGAAGUAUCUGAGGCUGGAUUUGAACUCAUGAAGAUGAGUCUUCCUGUUUCCAAGUCCAGUGCUCUAUCCACUUAGCUGCCUGUGAAAGGGAAGACUUAACACUAAUUGUUGCCUAGAGUAGAGUGAGUUACACACUUUGCACAGCUGUGGCUUCACCUCUGAUGCUUCUAGAGGAGAACCCUCUGUUGGCAAUGUUUCAAGUCAUUCCUGCUUGCUAUGAGUUGGCUCAUUUGCCUUCUCAGUUCCUUUGUGGGGAACAUCACUCCCUAGGGUCACUGUAGAAAAGCCCUUGCAUCUGGCUUCCAACUGUGGAUGGAGGGGUUUCUCUGAGGGAUGCACAUUACCCCCGCCAGGGUCCUCCACUCAGGGAUUUCCUUGUCCCCUCUCCAGUAGGCUUUCCGUCCUAGAGAUACUCUCUCCUUAGAGGCCUACUCUCCUGGCUGGUGAGUCUUAUACCUGGACCACUGUGCCCACUUCUCUAGGCUCUGCUCACUCUCCAAUCUUCUCUAGCUUUUCACCAGCAUCCCUUCUCAUUCCCCUUCAUGUAGAAUCUUUAUUAGGAUGGAAAAUUCUGGAAGGUAGGGAUUGUCUUGUUUCUUGCAAUUGUAUCCCCAGUGCCAGGCACAGAGCAGCUUUACAAAGCUAUAUGAAUCUUUUCAGGAGGUGGCAUCUGAGUUGGGCUCAAAAGGAAGGACCCUCCAGACAUGAGGAAUAAUGUGGGCCUAAGCAGAGGUGGGAGAGCAACAGGCAUAUUGUAGAGAGCCCUUGUAGUUGUGUGUUUUAGAGAGUAACGAAAUGUACCAGAUUUCAGAGCACUUUAAAUGCCAGACAAAGAUUAAAGCCCAGAUCUCCUGGCUCUGAGCCCCCUUUCCGGGUUCCAGGUCUUUUUCAUUGCACACAUAUGUACACUAUAGCCCGAGGCAAGAUAUGUUUCCUUUUGGGACCAGAACUUGCAGAUCCCAAUGUCAAAUGUAAGUUAGUUUGUUGUCAUCAUCAUUGUUUUUUGGUCAUGUCCAAUUCUUCAUGAUCCCAUUUGGUGGUUUUCUUGGCAGAGAUCCUGGAGUGGUUUGCCAUUUGCUUUCCAGUUCAUUUGAUAGAUGAGGAAACUGAGGCAAACAGGGUGAAGUGACUAGCCCAGGGUCACCUAGCUAGGAAGUGUUUGAGGCUGGAUUUGAAGAUGAGUCUUCCUGCCUCCACAUCUGGUGCCCCACCCAUUGAGCUACCUGGCUGCUCAAGUUGGUAUGUGGCAGUGACUGAGCAGUUAGUGGUUUGCUGGGUGAGAGCUGCCAUGUUGUAAUAAGAGCAUUACUUAGUUGAUUAUUUAAACUCAGGUAUGCUUCUUGAAUAUUUUAAAUUCCAGAUCUAAAUGGGAUGCUUCAGGGACAUGUUACAGUAGCCCCUGAUGCUAUUACUUCUGUGGGAUAUGCACUGCUUUAAAUAUAAACUGGGCCUGGGAUCUCUCCACAUCCUCAUAGCUGACAUGAGCUAUGCUCCCUUGGACAAGUCUCAUGACCCAUCUGAGCCCUUGUUUCCUCCUCUGUAAAAUGAGACGAUUGGACAAGACAAUUCAAAGGCCCUUUCCACUCUGGCAUGCUAUAAAGCUGGAAUACUCAUGAGAAAGGUCACUGUGUGGCAGACUAUUACACUGGCCUGUCUCUGUAUAUUUGCAAAGGGAAAAGGAAGGAGACGAGAAAAGCAUCAUGUGCUCCCUCAUGUGAGUCAGAGAGAGGAAUCAUAUAGGGAAAGCUGGAGGGAAGCCUGUGGUGGCCUCAGUUUCCCUGUGUGCCUUGUAGGAGGUCUGGAAGCUGAGGGGGAGGGGGAGGCCCAGUUCUUUUCAGUGGCCUGCCCUGGACCUCACCUCGCAGACAGAGCCCACAUGCACGGCUGUUCAGACAGGCUGGCUCGCAGCGAGGCGGUGUGUUUAGUGUUCACUGGGGAUCUGUCUAAACACUGGGAUAACCCGUCAGAGCCAGGAAUGAAUCCACUCCACUCAGCGCCAGCCAGACCCAAACUCUGGUCCUGGGGCCAGUUCUGGGCUCCGCCCUGUGUAGAAGCCAAGUACAUCCCAGGGGAUCGAGGGCUGGAAAAUGUGACCUGAGUGGAAACGUUGGAGGCCGAGGCAGGGAGGCCCCCUAGAAGGGGGCUGCAGGCAGCCAGGUGUGAAGUGAUCUGGCUUGGGAGUGCAGUUGGAAGGAUGUCGAGGAUGGGCCGGGUACAAGCAAGGGAGAAGAGAAAUUGGCAGCUUCUAGCUGUGGAGCAGCUGUCAGGGCUGAGCCAAAGAUGACUGCAAGUUUGUAGGCCCCAGGGGCCUCAGAGGAUAAUGGUGCCAUUGAUGCUGACAGGGAGGUUAAGAAGAGGUAACAGCUUAGGGGGGCUCCACUUCUGACAUGAAGCUUUGGGGAUUUGUGGGACAGCCACGUGGAGAUGUUCUGUACAUACCACGUGUCAGAAAGCACGGAAGAUGAGAAGCUAGAGCUGGGGAGUCAGGACAGUGGGAAGGACCCUAAGCUGGGCUCCAGGAAACCUCACUUCUAGACACAGGCUUUGUGACUAGUUUGUGGUGCACCCCAGGGCAAAAUGUACCCUCAAUGCCUCACCUGUUAAGCCAAGGGGUUGGACUCACUGAACUCUAAAGGCCUCUCUGCCUCUGAUCUUGUAGGAAUGUCUCUAGGAUUCUGUGCGGUCACUUUGGUAGGGUGGUGCAGGGCAUCAUAAUAAUAGUUAGAAUUGAUGUUUCUGUCGUGUUUUAAGGUUUCCAAAGCACCAUUCAUUUUAUUCUUACAAUAA